AAGUCGAGCGGACCGACGGGAGCUUGCUCCCUUAGGUCAGCGGCGGACGGGUGAGUAACACGUGGGUAACCUGCCUGUAAGACUGGGAUAACUCCGGGAAACCGGGGCUAAUACCGGAUGCUUGAUUGAACCGCAUGGUUCAAUCAUAAAAGGUGGCUUUUAGCUACCACUUGCAGAUGGACCCGCGGCGCAUUAGCUAGUUGGUGAGGUAACGGCUCACCAAGGCGACGAUGCGUAGCCGACCUGAGAGGGUGAUCGGCCACACUGGGACUGAGACACGGCCCAGACUCCUACGGGAGGCAGCAGUAGGGAAUCUUCCGCAAUGGACGAAAGUCUGACGGAGCAACGCCGCGUGAGUGAUGAAGGUUUUCGGAUCGUAAAACUCUGUUGUUAGGGAAGAACAAGUACCGUUCGAAUAGGGCGGCACCUUGACGGUACCUAACCAGAAAGCCACGGCUAACUACGUGCCAGCAGCCGCGGUAAUACGUAGGUGGCAAGCGUUGUCCGGAAUUAUUGGGCGUAAAGCGCGCGCAGGCGGUUUCUUAAGUCUGAUGUGAAAGCCCCCGGCUCAACCGGGGAGGGUCAUUGGAAACUGGGGAACUUGAGUGCAGAAGAGGAGAGUGGAAUUCCACGUGUAGCGGUGAAAUGCGUAGAGAUGUGGAGGAACACCAGUGGCGAAGGCGACUCUCUGGUCUGUAACUGACGCUGAGGCGCGAAAGCGUGGGGAGCGAACAGGAUUAGAUACCCUGGUAGUCCACGCCGUAAACGAUGAGUGCUAAGUGUUAGAGGGUUUCCGCCCUUUAGUGCUGCAGCAAACGCAUUAAGCACUCCGCCUGGGGAGUACGGUCGCAAGACUGAAACUCAAAGGAAUUGACGGGG
rnacentral:rRNA from 1 species